GUAAAGCGCGCGCAGGCGGCUAUUUAAGUUGGAUGUGAAAGCCUACGGUAACCGUAGAACUGCAUCCAAAACUAUUUAGCUAGAGUGUGGGAGAGGAAGAUGGAAUUAGUUGUGUAGGGGUAAAAUCCGUAGAGAUAACUAGGAAUACCAAAAGCGAAGGCAAUCUUCUGGAACACUACCGACGCUGAGGCGCGAAAGCGUGGGGAGCAAACAGGAUUAGAUACCCUGGUAGUCCACGCAGUAAACGAUGAAUGUUAGUCGUCGGGUAGCUAGUCUAUUCGGUGAUGCAGCUAACGCAUUAAACAUUCCGCCUGGGGAGUACGGUCGCAAGAUUAAAACUCAAAGGAAUAGACGGGGACCCGCACAAGUGGUGGAGCAUGUGGUUUAAUUCGAAGAUACGCGAAGAACCUUACCUAGCCUUGACAUAUAUUAGAAUCUUUCAGAGAUGAGAGAGUGCCUUCGGGAGCUUUUAUACAGGUGCUGCACGGCUGUCGUCAGCUCGUGUCGUGAGAUGUUGGGUUAAGUCCCGCAACGAGCGCAACCCUCGUCACUAGUUACUAACGGUUCGGCCGAGGACUCUAGUGAGACUGCCUUCGUAAGGAGGAGGAAGGUGAGGACGACGUCAAGUCAUCAUGGCCCUUACGGCUAGGGCAACAC
rnacentral:rRNA from 1 species